rnacentral:SRP_RNA from 10 species
GCCGAGCGCGGUGGCACAUGCCUGUAGUCCCAGCUACUCAGGAGGCUGAGGUGGGAGGAUAGCUUGAGCCCAGGAGUUCUGGGCUGUAGUGCGCUAUGCCGAUCGGGUGUCCGCACUAAGUUCGGCAUCAAUAUGGCGACCUCCUGGGAGUGGGGGACCACCAGGUUGCCUAAGGAGGGGUGAACCAGCCCAGGUCAGAAAAAAGAACUAUGUUAAAUCUACUCUGUGAUCUAUCAGUGAAGUAAUAAAGCUUGAAUGACAGCACAUCUGUUUACAGCAUGGUUUACUGACUAUUUUAAGCCCAUUG